rnacentral:rRNA from 1 species
UACGGAGGGAGCUAGCGUUGUUCGGAAUUACUGGGCGUAAAGCGCGCGUAGGCGGCUUUGUAAGUUAGAGGUGAAAGCCCGGAGCUCAACUCCGGAACUGCCUUUAAAACUGCAUCGCUUGAAUCCAGGAGAGGUGAGUGGAAUUCCGAGUGUAGAGGUGAAAUUCGUAGAUAUUCGGAAGAACACCAGUGGCGAAGGCGGCUCACUGGACUGGUAUUGACGCUGAGGCGCGAAAGCUAGGGGAGCAAACGGG